rnacentral:rRNA from 1 species
AACGAACGCUGGCGGCGUGGAUAAGACAUGCAAGUCGAACGCUCAUUGCGGGGUAGCAAUAUUCCGAAGUGGGAGUGGCGAAAGGGUGCGUAACAUGUGGGUAAUCUGCCGUGAAGUUUGGGAUAACUCGCUGAAAGGCGAGCUAAUACCGGAUGUGACUGUCGGGUGGCAACGCUUGACUUUCAAAGACUGGGGACCGGCAAGGCCUGGCGCUUUACGAUGAGCCCGCAACCUAUCAGCUAGUUGGUGAGGUAACGGCCCACCAAGGCUAAGACGGGUAGCUGGUCUGAGAGGACGACCAGCCACACUGGAACUGAGACACGGUCCAGACACCUACGGGUGGCAGCAGUCGAGAAUUUUU